CAGGAGGCCGCUCGGCAGGCUCAGCUACAGGCUCUGGGCCUCGAUCAGCCUCAGGACGAGCCUCAGGCUCAGCCUGUAUUCGAGGAGCCGGCUCAGGAGGAGCAGGUCGAGGAGAUCCCGGUACCACCAGUUCAGCCAGCUCCUGAGCCGCCACAGUACCCGCAGCACGUUUACGCUGACCUGCCUCCGGCAGCGCGUGAGGUGGCUCGGGACUUCGACCGGCGCCUCAGACGUCAGGGCGCACGCAUUGACUGGAUCGUCGAGACGCUCGUUGCUUUACGAGAGCUCGCUGGGUUGCCUCCACUUCCCCUCCCACCGUCCCCACCGCACGAGGAUUAGUACC
rnacentral:lncRNA from 1 species